GGCCACCGUCGGCGCGCCGUACGACUGAACCGCGCGUCGAUACGACCUCUCCGCGCCGCGCCGCGACGCGCCGGACUUUGUGCUGACGCGAUGCCGCGAGCUCGCGCGCCUCGCGGGGCACCCCGCGUUCGCGGGCGACGCCGGGCUCGUGAACUACUACCGCUCCGGCGACGCGCUCGCCGGGCACGUCGACGACGCCGAGCGCGACCUCGCGAAGGCGCGUUCUCCUUCACACUGGUUCCCAUACGACCCCGUCGGCGUGGUGAACGCCGUUUCUUAAGGACUUUCGCCGUCGUCUCUCUCCGCCCAGGGUCCCUCGCGUUCAAUCCCCAACCUCAACGCCUUUCAACUCCGCUUCUGACGCCUAUGAACUCCACCCCGACGUUCGCUUCGUAUGGAACGACCUCGCCGACCUCGCGAAGCCGAUCGUGUCCCUCUCUCUCGGGUGCGCCGCGAUCUUUCUCCUCGGCGGCGAGACGCGGGAGACGGCGCCGACGGCGGUGCUGCUUCGGUCAGGCGACGCGGUGGUGCUCGCCGGGGAGAGCCGGCGGAGGUACCACGGCGUGCCGAGGAUAUUCGCGCGCGCGGAGGGGACGCGUGACGGCGCGGGGG
rnacentral:lncRNA from 1 species